rnacentral:rRNA from 1 species
GGGGCCCGCACAAGCGGUGGAGCAUGUGGUUUAAUUCGAUGCAACGCGAAGAACCUUACCUGGGCUUGACAUCCCGGGAAUCCCUUGGAAACAAGGGAGUGCCCUUCGGGGAACCUGGAGACAGGUGCUGCAUGGUUGUCGUCAGCUCGUGUCGUGAGAUGUUGGGUUAAGUCCCGCAACGAGCGCAACCCCUAUUGUUAGUUGCCAUCAUUCAGUUGGGCACUCUAGCGAGACUGCCGGUAAUAAACCGGAGGAAGGUGGGGAUGACGUCAAAUCAUCAUGCCCCUUAUGACCUGGGCUACACACGUGCUACAAUGGUUGGUACAACGAGUUGCGAGUCGGUGACGGCGAGCUAAUCUCUUAAAGCCAAUCUCAGUUCGGAUUGUAGGCUGCAACUCGCCUACAUGAAGUCGGAAUCGCUAGUAAUCGCGGAUCAGCACGCCGCGGUGAAUACGUUCCCGGGCCUU